CAGGACCAAAAUGAGGAAGCACACUAAGAACUAACAACAUAUCCUCAGACCUUGGGCAAGAGAGAUACUUCCCCAGAAGAAAGUGAUUACCAUGAAAUGCCAUCCAAUGAUUCUUCAAGGGAGUGGCUGGUAGAUAAUGUCCUCUUCACAGCAGUCUCAUCCUUGUUGGAAAAAUUCUCAAAAGGCCACUCGAGCAGACAGCCCAAGAAGAAGACAACCCUCAGUGCCACCGCCGUGCCGCAACCCUCAGUGCCACCACCGUGCCGGGUAAGUUUGUAUCUGUGCAAAACUCCUUUUCACUGAGAUUUUAACUUCCAACAUUGUGUGCAUGUAAACAUGUGGCACAUCACCAUUCAAAACUCUCCUUUAA
rnacentral:lncRNA from 13 species